GAGAUGGGUGGUUACUAGAAGAGCGAGAAGGAAGUGGCAGAACAAGUCAUUUCAAGUAGAGACAGCUGUAACUUCGUAAAGACAUCAAGUGGUAGAGACAAGUGUGAUGCUUAAGGUUGGUAACAUUUUUAAAAAAUAAAAAGUUAUUACUUUUCCAAAAGCAUUUCUGCUUCUAUUUUUGUAGUAGUUGUUGUUGUACUCACCUCGACUCAAUCAAUAUCACAUUACAUCAUCAGACGUAGACAAAAGUA
rnacentral:lncRNA from 1 species